GUACACUCCUACGGGAGGCAGCAGUGGGGAAUAUUGCACAAUGGGCGCAAGCCUGAUGCAGCCAUGCCGCGUGUAUGAAGAAGGCCUUCGGGUUGUAAAGUACUUUCAGCGGGGAGGAAGGCAAUACGGUUAAUAACCGUGUUGAUUGACGUUACCCGCAGAAGAAGCACCGGCUAACUCCGUGCCAGCAGCCGCGGUAAUACGGAGGGUGCAAGCGUUAAUCGGAAUUACUGGGCGUAAAGCGCACGCAGGCGGUCUGUCAAGUCGGAUGUGAAAUCCCCGGGCUCAACCUGGGAACUGCAUUCGAAACUGGCAGGCUUGAGUCUUGUAGAGGGGGGUAGAAUUCCAGGUGUAGCGGUGAAAUGCGUAGAGAUCUGGAGGAAUACCGGUGGCGAAGGCGGCCCCCUGGACAAAGACUGACGCUCAGGUGCGAAAGCGUGGGGAGCAAACAGGAUUAGAAACCCCAGUAGUCCCAUGAU
rnacentral:rRNA from 1 species